rnacentral:SRP_RNA from 1 species
GCUGGGUGUGGUGGCGUGCGCCUGUAAUCCCAGCUACUUAGGAGGCUGAGGCAGGAGAAUCGCUUGAACCCAGGAGGCAGAGGUUGCAGUGAGCUGAGAUUGCGCCACUGCACUCCAGCCUGGGCAACAGAGCAAGACUCCGUCUCAA